UCGAGAAUCUUCGGCAAUGGGCGCAAGCCUGACCGAGCGACGCCGCGUGCGGGAUGAAGGCCUUCGGGUUGUAAACCGCUGUCAGAGGGGGGGAAGGGUCCGUGAAGAGCGGAACUUGACCUAUCCUCAGAGGAAGUGCGGGCUAAGUUCGUGCCAGCAGCCGCGGUAAGACGAACCGCACAAACGUUAUUCGGAAUCACUGGGCUUAAAGGGUGCGUAGGCGGCUACGCAAGUCGGGUGUGAAGGCCCUCAGCUCAACUGAGGAAUUGCGCCCGAUACUGUGUGGCUUGAGGGAGACAGAGGUGAGCGGAACUUGCGGUGGAGCGGUGAAAUGCGUUGAUAUCGCAAGGAACACCAGUAGCGAAAGCGGCUCACUGGGUCUCUUCUGACGCUGAGGCACGAAAGCUAGGGUAGCGAAGA
rnacentral:rRNA from 1 species